UGAAAACUUAUAUUAAUAAAAUAAAAAUAAAAAAAUAAUUUAAGCUUUAAGUAAUUAAAUAUAUUAUUACCACCAUUAUAGCAAAUGGUGGGAGUUGGUCAAGCGGUAAAAGGGCAAAUCUCCUUACACAGGUCAUGGAUUCAACACCCAAAAUAUGCAAGGUUACUCUUUUUUACUAAAGAAUAAAAGAAUCCGUCUCAAAAGACCAUACCAGACUGGUCAGUGGUCCAGAACCCAAAUUUCCUAGUUUCUUAAAAAAUUAGCAGAACAUAAAGCUGCAAUCAGUAGCUUCUCAUAGAACCAGAUAUUUGCCACCAAAUAGCAUCCUUCAAGUCU
rnacentral:misc_RNA from 1 species